GUGUAUUCAGUAGGUCUACAAUGUUCAAGCUACUAGUACUGGUCCUUGUAGGGCUAAUUCUUGUGGCUCUAGCAACUCCAACAGCUACUGGCAAAAAACCCCAAGAUGUUGGAGAAUCAAGUCAUGAAAAAGAAAUAAAAGGCGGCAACAAUGGACUCUCUUCAAGCAAGAAAGCUAAAAAGAGUAAGAAAAGCAAUAAAAAAAGAAGCAAGAAAAUGAAGGAAAAGGAA